CCUACGGGAGGCAGCAGUGAGGAAUAUUGGUCAAUGGCCGGAAGGCUGAACCAGCCAAGCCGCGUGAAGGACGAAGGUGCCAAGCAUUGUAAACUUCUUUUGUCAAGGGACAAAAUCAGGCUCGAGAGCCUGACCGAGGGUACUUGAAGAAAAAGCAUCGGCUAACUCCGUGCCAGCAGCCGCGGUAAUACGGGGGAUGCGAGCGUUAACCGGAUUGAUUGGGUUUAAAGGGUGCGUAGGCGGGCUGUUAAGGCAGCGGUAAAAGCCCGGGGCUCAACCCCGGCGAGCCGUUGAAACUGGCUGUCUUGAGAUGUCGAGAGGUAUGCGGAAUGCGCAGUGUAGCGGUGAAAUGCUUAGAUAUUGCGCAGAACUCCGAUUGCGAAGGCAGCAUACCGGCGGCGAUCUGACGCUGAGGCACGAAAGCGUGGGUAUCGAACAGGAUUAGAUACCCCUGUAGUC
rnacentral:rRNA from 1 species